GUACAGGUGCUGCAUGGCUGUCGUCAGCUCGUGCGUGAGGUGUUGGUUAAGUCUCGCAACGAGCGCAACCCCUACUAUUAGUUGCCAUCAGGUUAUGCUGGGCACUCUAAUGGGACUGCCUACGCAAGUAGUGAGGAAGGUGGGGAUGACGUCAAGUCAGCAUGGCCCUUACGCCUAGGGCUACACACGUGCUACAAUGGGUACUACAACGGGUUGCUAAGCCGCAAGGUGGAGCCAAUCCCUUAAAGGUAUCCUCAGUUCGGAUUGGAGUCUGCAACUCGACUCCAUGAAGUUGGAAUUGCUAGUAAUCGCGUAUCAGCGCGACGCGGUGAAUACGUUCCCGGGCCUU
rnacentral:rRNA from 1 species